AUGCCAGGGCCGAGGGCUGCCGAUGGCCCGGCAGCCGGCCCUCCUGACUCCCAAGAGGCGGGGUGUCGGAGGUCACGGAGCGGGAUGGUGUCCUGCGGGGUGAGUGUCCUGGCCGACCGGGCGAGGGUCGCCCCGCCCCGGCCCCCCGCCCCCCGCGCCCAUCCUGCCUCUCAGUGCGCUGCCAGGGAGAGGGGUCAGGAGACGGGGCGGCGGCGGCCAGGGCCCCCAGGGCCCCCAGGCCAGUGCAGGCCAGGGGCCCACUGCUGGAGGCAGAGGAAGGGCUGGCCGUUGCUGUUCGGGCCGGUGUCCGCCAGACGGCGCCAAAGCGCCAGCGGAGCAGCUCUGCCUGGCCCUGGCUGCCUGCAUCUCUGGGCUCCCAGGAAGGGAUGGGAGCUGGAUGGACGGAGGGAUGGAAGGAACCUGGGGGGCGGGGAGGGGCGGGGGGGGGCGCCCACGGCCUGGUUUGGGUGUGUGGGUGGGUGUGUGGGUGGGUGUGGGUGCUUGCGUGUGUGUGCGCGCGUGCCCGUGCGUCCUGUGCCUCUGACCCGCGGGCUCCUCAGUUUGCCUCAAGUCAGUGAGGGGCCGGAGUCCUGCCAUCCCGUGUGCUGGAGUGAAUUCGUGUUGGGGCGCGAGGCCCGAGGAUCUGGGCAGUGGACAGGCUGCCUGGGCUCUGAGGGUCCGCGGCUGGUUUGGAGGCAGAGGGCUGGAGCCAGAGACACGGGGCUUGGACGUGGGAACGUGCGGUUUUUUGCCCAGCUCCGGCGGGGAGUUGGGCUCCUGGGAAGCCGGGCUUCGGGUCCUGCACGCGAGGCAGCGUGUCAGGGGGUUGGCCCCUCGGGGGAGGCGGGCCGUGCUCCUCGCUGUGCUCCUCGUGUCCAGAGAGCGUCGCAAGCUGGUGCUCCCCUCGCCACCGGAGCCGCUUCACCCUCUGCGGGACCCCCCUCUCCCCCAUCAAACCAGGGAAGGGGCGUAUCCCCCGGCAGGUACCGCCUUUCAGCUGAGUCGCCGGGAUGCCGGGGGCCCGUGUCAAAGCCGGCCCUUGGCACUGAGGCAGGGGGGGUGGCCGACACCAAAACGUUGGGGUGGUGUCGGGUGGGGUGUGUGCCCCGGCCGUGCUCGCGAGGGUCGUGGCCCGGCUCCCGGAGCCUUUCGGGGUGGGCGGAGGGAGGGGCGGGAGGAAGGGACGCUGGCCCGAGGCCCCGGCCGGUGCAGGCCAGCGCUGGGCUGUGGGAGGCGGAGGAAGGGCUGCGAGGGGCUGUCCGCGCACACGCCGGCCAGAAGGCCCCAGGGCAGCCGCGGGAGCCCCUCUGCCGGCACGCGGCCCACAUCUCCAGGCUCAGCUAG
rnacentral:lncRNA from 9 species